rnacentral:rRNA from 1 species
GAUGAACGCUGGCGGCGUGCCUAAUACAUGCAAGUCGAGCGAACAGACGAGGAGCUUGCUCCUCUGACGUUAGCGGCGGACGGGUGAGUAACACGUGGAUAACCUACCUAUAAGACUGGGAUAACUUCGGGAAACCGGAGCUAAUACCGGAUAAUAUAUUGAACCGCAUGGUUCAAUAGUGAAAGACGGUUUUGCUGUCACUUAUAUAUGGAUCCGCGCCGCAUUAGCUAGUUGGUAAGGUAACGGCUUACCAAGGCAACGAUGCGUAGCCGACCUGAGAGGGUGAUCGGCCACACUGGAACUGAGACACGGUCCAGACUCCUACGGGAGGCAGCAGUAGGGAAUCUUCUGCAAUGGGCGAAAGCCUGACGGAGCAACGCCGCGUGAGUGAUGAAGGUCUUCGGAUCGUAAAACUCUGUUAUUAGGGAAGAACAAAUGUGUAAGUAACUAUGCACGUCUUGACGGUACCUAAUCAGAAAGCCACGGCUAACUACGUG